rnacentral:rRNA from 1 species
CGCGUAGGCGGUAGCAUGGGUGUGAUGUGAAAGCCCCGGGCUUAACCUGGGAAGGGCAUCGCAAACUAUGUAACUGGAGUAUAUGAGAGGGUGGCGGAAUUUCCGGUGUAGCGGUGAAAUGCGUAGAGAUCGGAAGGAACGUCAAUGGCGAAGGCAGCCACCUGGCAUAAUACUGACGCUGAGGCGCGAAAGCGUGGGAGCGAACA